UACGGAGGGUGCAAGCGUUAUCCGGAUUCACUGGGUUUAAAGGGUGCGUAGGUGGGCAGGUAAGUCAGUGGUGAAAUCUCCGGGCUUAACCCGGAAACUGCCAUUGAUACUAUUUGUCUUGAAUACCGUGGAGGUCAGCGGAAUAUGUCAUGUAGCGGUGAAAUGCUUAGAUAUGACAUAGAACACCAAUUGCGAAGGCAGCUUACUACACAAAUAUUGACGCUGAGGCACGAAAGCGUGGGGAUCAAACAGG
rnacentral:rRNA from 1 species